UUUAUGGAGAGUUUGAUCCUGGCUCAGGAUGAACGCUGGCGGCGUGCCUAAUACAUGCAAGUCGAGCGAACGGACGAGAAGCUUGCUUCUCUGAUGUUAGCGGCGGACGGGUGAGUAACACGUGGAUAACCUACCUAUAAGACUGGGAUAACUUCGGGAAACCGGAGCUAAUACCGGAUAAUAUUUUGAACCGCAUGGUUCAAAAGUGAAAGACGGUCUUGCUGUCACUUAUAGAUGGAUCCGCGCUGCAUUAGCUAGUUGGUAAGGUAACGGCUUACCAAGGCAACGAUGCAUAGC
rnacentral:rRNA from 1 species